ensembl:misc_RNA 7SK 7SK RNA
GGAUAUUAGGGGGAGACAUCUGUCACCCCACUGACUGCCAGGGUUGCCUUGGCUGAUCUGGUUGGCUAGGUGGGUGUCCCUGUCUUCCCUCAGCAGUUGGCAUGGCCCUUCCCGAGGCUUCAGGACCAGGUGAAGAGGAUGACCACUCCCAGAGAGGAAGAUGUUUCCUCCGUCACGGGUGUAGGAGUAGCUGCAGUGCCCUCCUAGAAUCUCCAAACAAGCCCUCGCGACUGACUUACUCUUGUAUUUUUCCCUAUAGAUUUAUUCCCAAAUGAACACUAAAAAAGUAAAAUUAAAAGAAAUUGAAGUUUGUGUUU